UCUCUUCCCCCUCUCUCUAUGGAUACAGUGUUAAUUUAUAACAAAAACAAUCUGAGUGAAUAAAGACUGAAUUGUUGAAAGUGCUUAUUUCUGAAAGAUGGGCUGUAUGAAAAAUUUCACUUUUCAUCUAUUUUUUUUGUAAUAAACAAAUACUGCUUUGCUGGAGCGUGUGUGUGAGAGAUAGGCUGAAAACAGUGUGUGUGUGUGUGUGUGUGUGUGUGUGUGUGUGUGUGUUUUGAAGUCUACACAGAAAGAACACAUGGUGGACACGGAAGCCUGGCUUUGCUUAUGAGGUAUGAAGUAAGAGGGUGAUGAACUCCUAGGGUCUCUUCUCUUCUCACUCUCACUCUAAGUCUGUGCCCACCAUUUUGAAACGGGCCUGAAGUUAGGGGAGAAAGUACAUGGUCUUUUGGCCCGAGUUUCUCUGAGCCCAGAACAAACAGGCCACCCAGGACUUGAUUCUUCCUUACAAGGUGGUAGAUGAGCCUGUCGGCGGGCUGAAAGGCCCACGUGUCUCUGAUGAAAGGCUCCACGACAGAACAGGGGCAAUUACUGGCCUUGGGGAGCCAGAUGGGAAACCAGCCAGAUUGGGCCACUUAGGCCAUUAGGCUCCACAAGAUGCCUUUCAUCCGGUCUCCCAGCAGCUGUUGGCUCAUUGGAGUUUUCUUUCUGACUCAUCCCUUUGUUCCGUCAUUUGGCUGAUGGGAUCAAACUUUCCCCAGCUCCAAACUAGUCUUCCAUGUUUCGCUCGGCUCUGGACCCCCACGAGGCUUGGUAUAUCUCCUUUCCACCUGUUUGGCCCCAUCCAGGACACACUGUUCCCUCAGGGCCUAUGUCUGGAGAUUGUGAUGACUUUUUCAUCUGGAGCUCUUCAUGGUCUUUGACGGCAGCGUGAGUGAUGUUCUUGAUGAUCGCUUUGCUUAUAUCCCAUGUGGCAAUGGUCCCUGGAGGGAAGAAUCUCUCACACCAUGCUUAGUGUAUGGAUCCUGAACUUAAUAGCUUACAACGAUAACUCUUGGUGUGACCGAAUUGAGAGAACACAACUCGAACUGAAUCAGGUGAACUGAUGCUGGCCUCGCUGGUCCCCACGGACUCUGCCAUCUGAGAUGACUACUGAGGUUGAAGAGGAUUUUGCCUGACACUGGACAAGGGUAACAAAACCUUCCCAGGUUCCUGCAUUGAGAAUGAUGACCACCAAGUCCCAAGCUGUGCAUCUCAGAAUGGAAGGAGCCACCAAAAGCCCACCUCCUUUCUCCACAUUCCCAAGGGAGUCUGUGCACAAGCACGAGGAGUUGGGAACUCCGAGACAGAGGUUCUGUUUAUAUGAAGUCCCCAUGGACCUUUUAGGAGCACUGGUAAAGGAAUAUAUUGGAAAUGGCUGUUGGCUCUAGCUAAAAUCCUUCAACCACAAUGGAGGUAAGGAUUACCUAGACUGUGUCCAAUUCUUGGAUGACACAUCAGAGAUAUGAAUUUUAUAGGCUACACUUUCUGCAUCUUUCCUUCAAUUCCAACCCCCAAAGAUAUCCCUCCAAAGCUCUCAGGAAAAGAACUCGUGGUAAGAAAUUGCACGUGUGAGUCAAAUAUAAGAAUCCUAAUAUCAGCUGGCAAGACCCCCAUAACACAAAGAAACUCUGCUUGGGGAACUCAUAGGAGUUGGGUCUUAUGAUGCUGAAGUGGAGGUCUGAGAAGGCACAGGUGGGACUGGAAGUGAAGCCUCUGAUUGACAGCUUUGGUAGUCAUGGCAUCCAAGACUUGGCUCAAGAGCAACAGUAAACAAGGUGGUCCACAGAACCUAAAUCGAACAGCAGCCAAUCCAACAGAGAAUAUGCAUCUAUUACGAAGUAGCUGUGCGAACGAGUUCAACUAGUCUGUCUCCCUCCCUCCCUGACUUUGAAUCUCUGCAAUGUUAACCUGAUGUCAUCAUUCCUUCCUGCUAUGGGGCUUGGAGAGUUCCUUGACACUUCCUCUUAGUCAGUGUUCAUUGGUAUUUCCUUCUUUCCUCUUGUUAGGAUUGAAAUCUGCUCAUGGCAACACAAUUAUCCUAUUAUCCCGCUUACCAGUUAGCUAGUAACUGCAAGAAAAACAGAUUCUCAAGGAGCAAGCUUGACAGUUUAGGGAGACAGAGACUUACAGCCUCCAAUUCCUCACUGUCCAGCAGCUUGGACACUGCCAAGUACAGCUGUGUGCUCAGGCUACUGAACCACGGAAACAUCAGAAGUAAAUGCCCGGAACCUCGCCGCAGGUGGAAGGCACAGAUGGUUAGCUGUCACGACACUUGUCCUUGUCAAGAAUCACUGUUCUCUUUCUUGUCUCAAUAUGACCUGUGCUAGCCUAAAAGGAGCUUUGGGAGCUGGCACAGCUGGGAAGCAAUGCCACCCAGAGCCUAGCUGGCUGUGUGACUAUGCUUACCUUCCUUCAUUUUUCCCCUGUCAGUUUCCUUGCCUAUAAAAUAGCAAAACCACACGUGGCAACCAAAGAUGUAGGACUAGCAAUAGGACAGCCAGAAGGAUGCUCCAGGGUGGAAACUUGCAUCCCUGCUGAUUCCUGUCUCCUUCACUUUUGGUCCUGGUGGUACUUCUGUGAGAUUCCAAAGGUCGGAGGAAGCGUUUGAUGUUUUGGUGACAGCAUGACUAGUAAUGUCUAAGGUAUCAUGAAGUUUAUAAUGCUAUUAAUUUCUUUGAUGAAACAGUCACGUAUUCAUUGUCCCUUACAUAAUGUACCCCACUCCCCAUCCAUGAGUGCACCCACACAGUUUAUAAAUCCAGGAAAGAAGGAUGUGGGCGGGCUUUAUAUUCACUGCUUGUUUCUUGGGAUCCUUAGGAUUAUUGACAAAAUGCUAAAGGGCUAUAAACAAGUCCAGAAGAUUGUGGUCCUAGAAGUGGGGAACCUAGGGCAUCUCUAGGCUACCUACGGCCAUCAGUAAAGUUUUUCAGGGCUAUGUGACCCCUGAAUCUAAAUCUGAGACACUUAAGAGGUUUGGACAGUUUCUAAUCCCCCAUGGUUUAUGUCUGGAUGUGCUAAAGGAAAAUGUUUCUCUGAGAUCCAGUCAUAAUAAUAAGCUCUCCAGAACCAUUUACAAUACUGGGAUUUAAAAAAUACACAAGACCCAGAAAUGAGGUGCCAUUUCUGAAUCUCUGUACUCAAGAGGCUCAGACAGGAGGAUCCUGAAGUAGAGACCAACCUGGAUGAUGCAGUGAGACUGUCUUAAAAGAAACUUCUGUAAGGUGGGACAGUGGACUGUCCCGGACAUCCAGGCACCCACCUGAGACAGUAGGUGUCUCCCUGUUCCUUAAUAGAUUCCUGGCCUGGGACACAUGAGCACACUCCCCAUGUAGGCCAUGAAUAUCAGAACAGAGCUCUCCAUGCUAAUGAGGUAUCUAGAUGUCCUGAGGGUUUAACCAAUAAGCUUCCUUUUUCAGACAUUCCUUCUUGCAAAAGGUAUUUAAUCUCUGGUCCACUCUGAGGAGGUGGUAUGCUCCCAUUUUCUCCAAUGAACAAUCAAUAAACAGUUUGGAAUCAAGGACUGUCUCUUCCAUGACCAAGGAUCUGCCAUGGGGAGCAUGGAACAGGCCUUUGCUUACAGAGCUGCAGCCUAAGUCUCCUGCAGAAGCCCGCUCUGUGCUCCCAGACAACUGCUGCUAAGCUAAGGACAAUCAUAAAUGGGCCAAGCUGGAGUCCCCAUCCCCCCAGCCCUGGUCUUCAUCCUUUUCCAGUGUCAUAGGCUCAUGGGCCCCCAACCCUUUGCUCUUGACUCCUCUGUGUGGUUUUUCAGUCAUGACUGAAUGCCUGGGAGCUUGGGAACCCCAGCUUCAACCUUCUACAUCCUAGGCUCCGGUUUCCCACCUCCUGAGCGGGGUAUUCGCUCAAGCCCAGCACUCAACAGUGGCAGCUCAUGGUAAAUGUACUCUAGUGUUUCGCGUCUGCCCAGUACCCCAACAGUGUGGCAAAACAUGGACCCAAAUUGUAAGAAGUAUUUUUCAUCCAUACAUACCCUCUGAAAACCUCCCUUCUCCUGUAACACAGCCAGCCUUGCUAAUGAGAUACAGUCAUGUUUUUUUCUAGGUCAUUUCUUCCCACCUCACUGGUCUAGGGGUACACCUGGGCCACGUCUGGCCAAAGAAGGAGUUUCUCCUGCCUAAGACACAGAGCUUCUGUUUGUUAGAUCUGGGUGACUAUGCAGCUGUGUGGGGAUAUGGCUUUUGGACAGCUGCCAUGUUGGACAAUGAGCAGCAUGCUGAGAGACAGACACAGAGUCAGGGAGUGCAGGGAUAGAGUCAGGAAUGGGAAAGAGGGAGGGGGAGUGGCAAAGGAGAGGGAGGCAGCUUCUCCUACUGAUCUCAUUCUCAUACUGAUCUGCAAGCCUGUGGAAUCUUCCCACAUAGAGCUUUCUUUUGAGCUCGAUGCUUCCUUCCACCCAACCUGAACCUUUUCCUGAACCAUCCAGGAGAGACUUCUCUUCUUCUGGCCUCGAGCCAGUCCUUAAUUAAGACAAAAGACUUCAUGCAGUAAGUCAUGGCGCCAGCUUCCCCCCUCCACCCCUGAAAGGGCUUGCUCUUCCCUUCAUCCUCCCAACUGGCAUUUAUCUAACCUAAACUGGACAGCAGUGUGGAGCAGUGUCCCAGUCCAAGGGAUACAGUGAUGAGCAAAUAUAUUUGGAGAUUUGAAAUUUUUUCACGUGUGAAAUGGUUGAGAGCCUGGUUCAGGGAGGAAGUGGCACAGUGGCUGUCACUGGCUAUUUGAAAAGCAGUGAUAAGGGGAAGGAAUUAGAGUUGGUGUCUCUCUUGCCAGAGGACAUUAGAAAGCUUAUGGGUAGAGAUGUAAAGGGGGCAGAUUGGGAAUCAGCACUUCCAGGAGUUCAGCAAUGAGUAAAGAUGGAGGGGUGGUGCAGUUUGGGUAUGUUUAACUGUUCCCUACUGAUUCCUGGAUGGAAAGCUUGUGUCUUUCUAGUUUUGGAGAUAUGGUACCUUUAAGAGGUGGAGCUUGGAGGAAAGUCUUCAACUCAAGAGGGAGAACACUCUUUACGAGGACACUCAUAGCCUAUGGUAAAGUUUCAGGAGAAUGAGUCACAAAAACCAGCAGUGGUCCCUCCUAGUCUCCCUUUUCUCGAUUCUGCAUGAGUGACCUCCAUUAUUGCCCUCCACCAUGUCCAUGUACCACUAGCUAGAGCUGAGCCACCGAAGGUGACAUGCUCUCUAAAGCUGUGAGCGAAAUCAACUGCUAUGCUUCGCAACUAGCCUGCCUCAAGCACUCAUUCCAUCCCAGUGGUGGAAGGCCUGCCUUGAGCUUUGCACUUUUUUCUACCCUGGAACAGAAUGAUGGGUGUUCACAGGUCCGAGGGGUAGAGAAAGCAUUUGUUGAACAUUGAGAUGAAAGGGUCACUUGGACUCUACCCCAAAUUCCUGCUUGGAGAGCUCACUGCAAACCCUUAUAGCUUGAGGGAUUUUAGGAAGGUUGUUUAGUUUCUCUGGGAUGGGUUUGCCAUCUUUGGACAA